AAGCUCCAGCUGUAGCAUUCCUGUGUGGCAGGAGCCUCCACCUGAGUUAGAGGGAUAAGGCACUCCUACAGAAGCUGAUGCUAUUUACUGCUUGCUUCUCAGGGCUGCCUUGCCCUGCAGGUACUGCAGACAGGCAGCUGCAAAGGAGGCACAGCUCCUGGGAGUACAGUUCCUGCUGGUUCUGAGGCUGGGCUAAGCCACUUCCAAUAAUUUGAUGUCUGCCCUGCAAUGCAGCCCAGUAAGUGUGGACUCAUCUUUCCUGCAGCUAUGGAAGAUUAGAUUCAGCAGAAUGAAAGGCUGGAUGCUGUUUUCUGUAUUUACACGGGUUGUAAAGAUGCAUCUGAACUAGCAUGUGGAUUUGGGCCAACUCCAGAGAGUAUGCUAUAGCUGUCAUCCGGCAAUUUUAUUGGUGGAUUUUUAAACUGCAUUUUAUACAUCAGAGUACAGAUACUCUUUUGGAAUAAACUGUGAUCUCAUACUUUAAUUGCAAAGGAAGAAAACCUGCAAUAAUCUUUGAAGUUUAAGGCAUCAAGCAGAGACCUAGAAUUGUUAGAAAGAUGACUUAAAAAUUCAUUUUCCAGAUGUUCAGACUUCACUACUCUGUGUGUAAGUUCAUGCUUCAGUCACUAGAAAUCAAUCCAUGUGAAAGGAAUGCUUCAAAGCAGUGAACUUCAACACCACCAGCUCUCAACAGCAUCCAUGUUCUUUCACUCUGCCCUUUGUUCCCCUCCCCUGAAUGCACCAAAAAGCAGUUCCAACUUCCUUCAGGCUGAACCUGUCACCUUUGCACUCUUUUUCCAUAUUGGCAAGUUGGACAAAAUAAAUUUUAUUCCUGAAAUCAUCACUACAUUUUCUGCAAACAAAGUAAGUUAUCUUACAAGAUUGUGUGGGAUAAAUAACCUGCACUGGUGCAGAGGUUGGCAGCAUUUCCACCUUCAUUAGCUGUCC